GGGCUCGCAGGCGGUUUCCUUAAGUCUGAUGUGAAAGCCCCCGGCUCAACCGGGGAGGGUCAUUGGAAACUGGGAAACUUGAGUGCAGAAGAGGAGAGUGGAAUUCCACGUGUAGCGGUGAAAUGCGUAGAGAUGUGGAGGAACACCAGUGGCGAAGGCGACUCUCUGGUCUGUAACUGACGCUGAGGAGCGAAAGCGUGGGGAGCGAACAGGAUUAGAUACCCUGGUAGUCCACGCCGUAAACGAUGAGUGCUAAGUGUUAGGGGGUUUCCGCCCCUUAGUGCUGCAGCUAACGCAUUAAGCACUCCGCCUGGGGAGUACGGUCGCAAGACUGAAACUCAAAGGAAUUGACGGGGGCCCGCACAAGCGGUGGAGCAUGUGGUUUAAUUCGAAGCAACGCGAAGAACCUUACCAGGUCUUGACAUCCUCUGACAACCCUAGAGAUAGGGCUUUCCCUUCGGGGACAGAGUGACAGGUGGUGCAUGGUUGUCGUCAGCUCGUGUCGUGAGAUGUUGGGUUAAGUCCCGCAACGAGCGCAACCCUUGAUCUUAGUUGCCAGCAUUCAGUUGGGCACUCUAAGGUGACUGCCGGUGACAAACCGGAGGAAGGUGGGGAUGACGUCAAAUCAUCAUGCCCCUUAUGACCUGGGCUACACACGUGCUACAAUGGACAGAACAAAGGGCUGCAAGACCGCAAGGUUUAGCCAAUCCCAUAAAUCUGUUCUCAGUUCGGAUCGCAGUCUGCAACUCGACUGCGUGAAGCUGGAAUCGCUAGUAAUCGCGGAUCACAUG
rnacentral:rRNA from 1 species